rnacentral:rRNA from 1 species
GACGAACGCUGGUGGCGUGCCUAAUACAUGCAAGUCGAACGGUCUUUUCUAUGGAAGCUUGCUUCCACUGAGAAGAUAGUGGCGAACGGGUGAGUAACACGUGGGUAACCUGCCCAUAAGAGGGGGAUAACAUCCGGAAACGGGUGCUAAUACCGCAUAGUUUUCUUGAUCGCAUGAUCGAGAAAGGAAAGACGGCCUUUGCGCUGUCGCUUAUGGAUGGACCCGCGGCGUAUUAGUUAGUUGGUGAGGUAACGGCUCACCAAGACGAUGAUACGUAGCCGACCUGAGAGGGUGAUCGGCCACAUUGGGACUGAGACACGGCCCAAACUCCUACGGGAGGCAGCAGUAGGGAAUCUUCCGCAAUGGACGAAAGUCUGACGGAGCAACGCCGCGUGAGUGAAGAAGGUUUUCGGAUCGUAAAACUCUGUUGUCAGAGAAGAACAAGUCGGAGAGUAACUGCUCCGGCCUUGACGGUAUCUGACCAGAAAGCCACGGCUAACUACGUGCCAGCCGCCGCGGUAAGAC